rnacentral:rRNA from 1 species
GAUGAACGCUGGCGGCGUGCUUAACACAUGCAAGUCGAACGAAGCACUUUAUUUGAUUUCCUUCGGGACUGAUUAUUUUGUGACUGAGUGGCGGACGGGUGAGUAACGCGUGGGUAACCUGCCUUGUACAGGGGGAUAACAGUUGGAAACGGCUGCUAAUACCGCAUAAGCGCACAGCAUCGCAUGAUGCAGUGUGAAAAACUCCGGUGGUAUAAGAUGGACCCGCGUUGGAUUAGCUAGUUGGUGAGGUAACGGCCCACCAAGGCGACGAUCCAUAGCCGACCUGAGAGUGUGACCGGCCACAUUGGGACUGAGACACAGCCCAAACUCCUACGGGAGGCAGCAGUGGGGAAUAUUGCACAAUGGGCGAAAGCCUGAUGCAGCGACGCCGCGUGAGCGAAGAAGUAUUUCGGUAUGUAAAGCUCUAUCAGCAGGGAAGAUAAUGACGGUACCUGACUAAGAAGCACCGGCUAAAUACGUG